rnacentral:rRNA from 1 species
GAUGAACGCUGGCGGCGUGCCUAAUACAUGCAAGUCGAGCGAACGGACGAGAAGCUUGCUUCUCUGAUGUUAGCGGCGGACGGGUGAGUAACACGUGGAUAACCUACCUAUAAGACUGGGAUAACUUCGGGAAACCGGAGCUAAUACCGGAUAAUAUUUUGAACCGCAUGGUUCAAAAGAGAAAGACGGUCUUGCUGUCACUUAUAGAUGGAUCCGCGCUGCAUUAGCUAGUUGGUAAGGUAACGGCUUACCAAGGCAACGAUGCAUAGCCGACCUGAGAGGGUGAUCGGCCACCCUGGAACUGAGACACGGUCCAGACUCCUACGGGAGGCAGCAGUAGGGAAUCUUCCGCAAUGGGCGAAAGCCUGACGGAGCAACGCCGCGUGAGUGAUGAAGGUCUUCGGAUCGUAAAACUCUGUUAUUAGGGAAGAACAUAUGUGUAAGUAACUGUGCACAUCUUGACGGUACCUAAUCAGAAAGCCACGGCUAACUACGUG